AUUGAACGCUGGCGGCAGGCCUAACACAUGCAAGUCGAGCGGAUGAGUGGAGCUUGCUCCAUGAUUCAGCGGCGGACGGGUGAGUAAUGCCUAGGAAUCUGCCUGGUAGUGGGNGACAACGUUUCGAAAGGAACGCUAAUACCGCAUACGUCCUACGGGAGAAAGCAGGGGACCUUCGGGCCUUGCGCUAUCAGAUGAGCCUAGGUCGGAUUAGCUAGUUGGUGAGGUAAUGGCUCACCAAGGCGACGAUCCGUAACUGGUCUGAGAGGAUGAUCAGUCACACUGGAACUGAGACACGGUCCAGACUCCUACGGGAGGCAGCAGUGGGGAAUAUUGGACAAUGGGCGAACGCCUGAUCCAGCCAUGCCGCGUGUGUGAAGAAGGUCUUCGGAUUGUAAAGCACUUUAAGUUGGGAGGAAGGGCAUUAACCUAAUACGUUAGUGUUUUGACGUUACCGACAGAAUAAGCACCGGCUAACUUCGUGCCAGCAGCCGCGGUAAUACGAAGGGUGCAAGCGUUAAUCGGAAUUACUGGGCGUAAAGCGCGCGUAGGUGGUUUGUUAAGUUGAAUGUGAAAGCCCCGGGCUCAACCUGGGAACUGCAUCCAAAACUGGCAAGCUAGAGUAUGGCAGAGGGUGGUGGAAUUUCCUGUGUAGCGGUGAAAUGCGUAGAUAUAGGAAGGAACACCAGUGGCGAAGGCGACCACCUGGGCUAAUACUGACACUGAGGUGCGAAAGCGUGGGGAGCAAACAGGAUUAGAUACCCUGGUAGUCCACGCCGUAAACGAUGUCGACUAGCCGUUGGGAUCCUUGAGAUCUUAGUGGCGCAGCUAACGCAUUAAGUCGACCGCCUGGGGAGUACGGCCGCAAGGUUAAAACUCAAAUGAAUUGACGGGGGCCCGCACAAGCGGUGGANCAUGUGG
rnacentral:rRNA from 1 species